rnacentral:rRNA from 1 species
GAUCAGCGACUGGGGUGAAGUCGUAACAAGGUAGCCGUAGGGGAACCUGUGGCUGGAUCACCUCCUUU